GGGGAUUUGGCUCAGUGGUAGAGCGCUUGCCUAGCAAGUGCAAGGCCCUGGGUUCGGUCCCAAGCUCCG
rnacentral:tRNA from 1 species